UCUUUUUCUCAGGGUUGUUCUGGUCACUUGAAUUUCCAUAUACAUUUUAUGAUUAUUUUGAAUGGAGAACUGUACUAAAGCUACGCCUUUGGACCCUGGGCCUGUCUAUUUCUUUGAUCAGGUAAUAAUCUUGCUCCAUCUCAUCAAAUUAUAAUUUACUUUUAAAAUAAUAAUGUGCUUUUGACCAAUAUUUUCUCAUACUUUUUAAUCAGAAAGUUUUAUUUUAUUUUAGUUGAAACCUAAAAGGAAAACAUGGAAUAAGAGAACCUGCAAAGCGCAGUUCUCUCACCUGCAAGACACCUCAGGAUCUAAUCAUCGUCUUGAAAAGAAAAAAAAAUCAAAAAAACUAAAGAAAUCACAACUAUUUGCAGUAGCUGCAUCUGAAAAAGAGGAUGAGUUCCAUUCACCCAGCAUCUCACAGUCUUUUAGUGUGCCCAAGCUCUCUCCAAAUCUUAAUUUCUCCAAAGUACACCUGCAAAAGAACCUAUUGGAAGAAUACAAACUCAUUGCUCCUGAAAUACUGUGUGAACUCGGGGAGACAUUGCAGAAAUAUGCUGAGUGUAACAUUACUUUCCCUGUGGGAGUUGAAAAUCUCAUGAAUUACACUUGGAAAGAUCUUACUGAAGAUGCUCAUAGAUAUGUAUCCAAAGCUUCAACAUGCGGGCAAGACAAAGCCUUGCAAGGAAAUUCCAAUUUCAUGACCAUAGUUGACUUAAUUGGAUGCAAAAGCAGAAGCUGUUCAAGAAUAGAAUGUCAUAAAGAAAAUCAUCUGGUUAAAGCAGAAAAAGACCAC
rnacentral:lncRNA from 1 species